GAUGAACGCUGGCGGCGUGCCUAAUACAUGCAAGUCGAGCGAACGGACGAGAAGCUUGCUUCUCGGAUGUUAGCGGCGGACGGGUGAGUAACACGUGGAUAACCUACCUAUAAGACUGGGAUAACUUCGGGAAACCGGAACUAAUACCGGAUGAUAUUUUGAACCGCAUGGUUCAAAAGUGAAAGACGGUCUUGCUGUCACUUAUCGAUGGAUCCGCGCUGCAUUAGCUAGUUGGUACGGUAACGGCUUACCAAGGCAAGGAUGCAUAGCCGACCUGAGAGAGUGAUCGGCCACCCUGGAACUGAGACACGGUCCAGACGCCUACGGGAGGCAGCAGUAGGGAAUCUUCCGCAAUGGGCGAAAGCCUUACGGAGCAACGCCGCGUGAGUGAUGAAGGUCUUCGGAUCGUAAAACUCUGUUAUUAGGGAAGAACAUAUGUGUAAGUAACUGUGCACAUCUUGACGGUACCUAAUCAGAAAGCCACGGCUAACUACGUG
rnacentral:rRNA from 1 species